AAACAUUUUACAUGUGGAAGAAAUGAUCUCUAGAAGUAACACUGUGAACGAACUCAGUGGAUUUUGGUAGCUGAAGUUGCCCUUCGCGUUUUUCCGUGACCCUAGCUUUCCCGUUUCGAUUAGUUUUCAAUUCUUGUUACAUUGCGUGCAAACUAAAAAUUAUUUAAUAAAAAAAAACGAUUCUAAUUCAAAAUCAAUAAAAAAAGACCAUUGUGGUUUCUUUGUGAUAUUAUGUCGAUAUUACGAGAAUUGCUGCUUUUAGGGAAAAUUUCCAAUACAUUGCAUAUCGGCUCUCAAUCGCCUAACUUAAAGGCAACCGAACCUUUAAAUUUUGGCAUAAAAAAGAAAUCACAAAGUGGCAGGUAUGGGCUAAGCACGGGAACAGCUAUUGGGCCUCACUAUUUCUUCUUCUUUUUCUUCACCUUACUCCACUAGGUGGGGUCGGCGCAGCUAAUUUUUUUCUUCCAUUCACUUCUAUCAGCCGUCAUCUCAACACUCACUCCUCUCUCUCUCUCAUAUCGUCAUUCACAAACUCCAUCCAUGUCUUCUUUGGUCGACCUCAUCCCCCUUGCACUACCUUGCACUACCAUUUCCAUACAUCUCCUAGUCACAUGCAUCUUCUCUCUACGCAUCACAUGUCCAUACCACGCUAACCUAAUUUCUUUUUUUAGGGGCUUACUGAAGAGGCUAUACCCAACGCUUAGCCAGGAUUAGUUGGUGCGUGUUCAGACGGUUCGUAGUACACUGUACCUGUUUCCCUGAUCUUCUAACCAGCGCCGGGCGUCAGGAAAUACUCCAAAAGAUGCGAGCAUAGAAUCUUCUGUUCGAGCGCCACGUCCGAAGCCUAGUGUAGCUCCAGCGUCUUGGCCCAGCUGACCUCCGUAGAAGUCACCGAAAGCCGUCGCCGUCCCGAGUUGAAUUAGAAGAGCUUUGAACGGGAGCGAGCAAAAAAUCCGAGAAAAUGUUUAUAUACUACCCUGGAGAUCCCGAGGACGAACGAUAUGUAUCGAACUUAGCCCGAGAGGUUCGUUUGAUCAGCGGCUCGAAUUUGUUCCUUAGAGCCGACCAGUGGCUCAACUGUGUUGAAACAUUGUCGGAGCUUUUUGACUGGUCCGAUGACCUGACACUGGCAAUCGCUUGCCGAUCUCUGGUGAAUCACGAGGCGGAAUGGCUGCGUGCCGAAGGUCCCUUCGUUACGUAUGAGGAACUUAAAUCGGUUGUGAUAGAGGAGUUUAUAGUCAAAAAUAGGCGUUGUGAAAAAAUCGAUAUUUCUUCCAGGUCCAUUUAAAUGAAAUUUUUGAAAUUUUACUUCCACCUCAUGUUCACUAUAAUUAUGGGAAUAAUCACAUUAUGUAAAGGCAUAUAAGCUUAUAAAGAUAGAGUACAUAUAGCAAGUACCCUUUGGCAGAAACAUGAAGUUCCACAUACUGCGAAUUGGUUCAUUCUUCUUCCACCGUAAAUGUGUAUUAACCGCCUGAUUUAACCCUUUAGUACUUGUAAAAAAGCACAUAUUUACAGAAUCAAAACAGAGCACCAUGUCACCACACAAUCAAAAUCAAAUAGCUCUUGAGACUCUUCCAAAGUGACAUUGAACUUUUUCAAUUCCCAUCAUUUCACAAAAACGAUCGUUGAAGAUGAUUAGAAUAACUAAAAGGGACUAAAAGGUCGAGUUACCAAAUGCCGGAAAUAAAUUGACACAAAGGCACAGACUAUCCUAAUUUUUACAAGGCAGAGAUUAAAUUAAUAUUUACAUUAGCUGAUAUUGGUCCCACAAUCACGACCAAGGAACUAAUUUAUGUUAAUUAUAUUAAAAACGAAAUCUACACACGUAUUGUCUUAGUAUUAUGAAACAUGACAAGAUGAGAACGCCUAUCGAUCUACUGCAUAUCUGACACUAAGGAAAUUUCGUCGUGUUUGCUAAUUUAUUAUUAUUAUAUUUUUAUGUUAUAUGCACACUAUAUUUUCAAUAUUAAAUCGACAGCAAAUGCAAUUGUAACACUUAUCCGUAAAUGUUUAACGUUAAAAAUAAAUUUGAAAAUCAUAUGAUAUUUGUGUAUACGUGCUUAUUAAUAUAAAUCGUUAAAACAUGCAGAUUUUGAAAUAUACUGUUUCUAGAGUUCUUUCUUCUUUGAUGUUGUAACUAAUCUGAAUAAAUACGAAUUUAAUUCUAUGUGUUGAUGGAUAUUAAUAAAGAAUAAUUAAAUGUG